CUCUAGAGUCCUUUCCACUUCCCCUGCUCCACAUGCAGGGCAGAACAGGCUUCUGAGCCUUGAGGCUGUAGGAUCUUGUGUCUUACUAAAGCUAGUUAAGUUCCUGUAUACGGGGGAAAUGGAGAUCAAGAGUCAGAGCGAAUAUGAGGAAGUAAUGGCUGCUGCCUUCAGACUUGGUCUUAAAAACCUUUUUGAAAAAAAGAGAGUGUGUGUGGAAAGAGGAGUUGCGGAUGUUGGGAGAUGUUGGAGAGAGAUCGGUGUACAGACGGAAGAUGUGAAUAGCCAGGAAGGUGAAACCGUGUCUGAGCCAUUAAAGAUACAGAGCAGUGCUCAUCCAGUACGUUCAGUGCAACCUUGUGGCUUGUUGGAGUCUGAUUUGCCAUCAUUGUCGUUAUUUGAUGAAGCUAGUCCAACUAGAGGUUUUAAUUGCACCAGUAAUGCCACUGUUCCUUCCCACGCUGUCGUGACAGAAGUAUCCCUAUCAAAUCAUCAUAAAACAAAGCAUAAGAAGAGGUGGGAAAUGGCAAAGAGAGAAAGCCAAUUAAAAAAAUUAACUCGGCAACAAAUAAAAAUUUCAGGCAAAAACUUCCGGAAACUUUUAGAGGCAGACAACAGGCAAAAAUGUGCUACUGCUGAACAAAAGGAGGCCAAAUUGGACCAGCUUAAAUUAAAGAUAAAACUGAGGAGGAGCGGAGCUUGCUGGGAAAGCAACCUCCUCGUUUCCGUUCAAGGUGAGAGCGAGAAGCAGCUAGAAGAAGUGAAAGAGCGUGGACUUCGAUCUCAGAGCUGCCCACCUAGUGUACUUCCUGGUCAAAGUCUUGGAACUCUCACACCACCGACAGACCUGACUAUUUCACCGUCUAAUUCUUCCACGCAUGCCUCUUCAGAUAAAUGUCUUCAUACCCCACACCACAUUUCUGUCUCUUCCCCUUUGGAUAUACCAAAAUUAUCUUCAAGCCCUCCCCAAGCAGAUGAAUCUGAUGAACAUAUUGCAAAGAUGUUGGACGAUAUGUUGAUGGGUUUAAACAUCCUGCCAUUGAUGCCAAUAGACAGAAAUCUGGAUGAGCAAGACCAGCUAGGUCUUCUUCAAGAUCCAAAAGGUCAGCAGAGGGCUGCUGAGGCAUCGGCUCAAGGUGCUUGUCUUUAUGUACAAAGCUGCGAGCCAGAGAUGAAGGAAUCUGAUGUUAGCAAAACUGCAGUACCAGUUGGGUCACCAGGACAAAGAGAUGAAGAUCACUCAGGCUUUCAAAAUCAGUCAAGAUCCAAUACAUUUGAGCUCCUGACUCAGUCACCUGGACAGGACGACUUGAACAAUGAUAAGAAUCUGGCAACUGUGGCAAGAAACUCCACUCCUUCACUGGUAGAAGAUUUGUUUUUAACCCCAAAAGCCACAACCGCCCUAGCUUACCUUUCUCCUGCAGCAGGUCAAAUGCCAAGGCUUGGUAUGACCAGCAUACUGGAUGACGGGCCAGAUUUCAAACUACUACGAUGCCUUUCCCCCCUUGAAUCAGAUAAGGGAGACAGUGAUGUUCCUACACAAGAAAUAUCACACAGGCAGGACGUAGAAACGCAAAACCUUCCCUUGUGGCUUUCUGAGUCACCACUGAAAUUGGACUUCCCUCUAAGCUCGAUGAUUGAUUCCUCCUACCCACAUCCACAGCCUGACCUCAUCGCCUGCCAAAAUCGAUCGUGCUCUGACCUUUCAGAAAAUCAAGAAUUGAAGACUUCCUUUUCACAAGAUGAUUUAAUGAGUGGGAGUAGUUCAAACACCAUUCAGUAUGAUGUGAAGGAUGCUAGUGAGCACCCAAAGCAGAGAAGGACGAGAAGACAGAGGAUUGCAACUCACAAGUCAAAAGUGAAUGGGGAUACAGAGUGUCAAAACCUAGAGAAUCAGAAUCAAGUUCAACCCCACAGUGAAAACGUUAAGCCAUCAACUUCUAAUGCACGCCGAGUGAGUACCCGAAUUAUCAAUGCAAACAGAAAAGUAGCUGCAGGUGUGAAGAGAAGAAGAGACAUUUCUUCACCUCUCAGUAAGAAAAUGCCUCGUACCACCAAUAAAAAAUAUGAAGAUGUUUUACCUAAAUCAAAAGACACUGGUAUUGUGAAACGUGGUCGUGGCAGACCCCCAGGAUCCAAAAAUACUUCCGUAGAUCCCCAAAAAUACUUGUGCAACAAUGCAAAGAAAUUGCCUACGUCAGGACAAGAUGAUUGUGAAGUGAAAAAAACUACGACGGACAGUGAGAUUGAACAGGUUAAUAAGCAAGAACCAAAUACACAGCAGGAGAAAGACUCAACAGAAAUGGAAGAAACAGAUGUUAACAGCAAUUUGGCACAGACAACCCCAAAUUCUCACUUAAAAUAUGCUGUUCAGGCGAAGGGACCAAGUAUCCUUGAUCAAAUUUUACAUCAGACUCUUCCAACUGUUGAAAGCCUCGCUUGUAGGAGUUCUCCGAAUAUUGAUCAGCAGCUAACAUCAAGUUUGCGAGACACGUCUUUUCGCCUUCAAAAAUUCCGAGGAGGGAAAAGUGAAGAUGAGAAUAGUAAAUUAGUGGUGAAUAGCAGUGAACUGAUCGAAAAGGGCAUUUGUGGUAAGAAAAAAGCAGAGACUUCUAUGCUGAGAAACGAGAAGGAAGAUAUGGAGGUAUCUGACAACCAAGUAGGGUCACCGUUGUCAUGUGGAGACAUGCCAGAAAACGUAAAAUAUUCGGUUAAAGAUGGAGAAACGGCAACUGAGGUUACAGCCACUGUGUUACAGAAUAGUGAUUCCCAAAAUGAGAUGGGAAAAGACACUCAGGACCAAACGACUGAGAUUUCUGUCCCGUUCACAGCUGAGGAGGAUAUAAUGAAGGAAAUUAUGAUGCCGGCUGAUGAUAUUGAUGGUGCUGAUCAUGCAAUGUCACCUACAAAGAAAGACUGCAUUGUUUCUUCCAACGAAUUGACAGUGAUCGAGGGAAUAGAAAGGAAUUUCCGUAUGAAUCCUGAUAGUACACCAGAUGAACAAAACUCUGAAGCUACAGUUUCUAAUGAGUGUUCAUUUGAGUUGACAUCAGACAUGGACAAAGACGUUCAGGCAGCAAAUAGUGUUAACACCCAGGAGGAUAGCUGGGUGGCCGACUGUUUAGAGAAAGAGGAGGAUUCAGGUGGGAGCAAAGCGGUUCAGAUGAUUGAAGAAACUAUGGAAGGAGAAGAAACUGAAUUUCGGAGGGCAAAUGAAUUUGUAGAGGAAAAUGCUUUGCUUGCUUCAGAUGAUGGGUGUGGGGAAACCACUAAUGGGUUGGAUGAUGAUGAAAUUGAUGUGGAGGGGGACCAAUACAGUGUUGAGAUGAUUGAUGGACAGACCCUUCUGGAAGAAGAUGAAUUGAGUAAAGGACACAUCGCAAGUGCUAAGACUGCAGAUGAUGCAUCAAACAGAGCUCUGAAACUUAGAAACACACAGGAAAUAAUAGGCAGAGAUGCUCCUUCUGUCCAGACUGAAGUAUCCCUUCACAGCCCCAAAGUGUGCAGUGAAGAUAUCUUAACGGUGAUGUCCAAUUCAGAAUCAGGAGAUGACUGCCACUUAGAUGAAGAAGAUAUUGAAGUAGAUGUUGUAGAGGAGUCCGUAGAAGAUCCAUUAGGGCUUUUGGUGGCCAGACAGGUUGUCACACUGCCUGCUGAGGGUCUAAUGGACCAAGAGGAUGAGUUGGAUGCCACUGAAGAGGAGGAGGUAGAUGUCACUGGAGAAGAGACAGAAUGAUUUUUUAUGUUUAUGUUAAGAAUACAUGUUUAGCAUUUUGAAGCCAAUAGCAGAUGUUUGAGCCAAGUUCUUAACCAAAGGUUUAAUAUAUCAAAUGGUGGGAAGAAUUCUCUCUUUUUUUUGUCAAUUUGAUCUUACUUAUGUGAAUUAGCCUGUCAAUUCAUUCAAUUUAUUUUUGAUCGUCUCAUACAUGCU
ensembl:lncRNA uncharacterized LOC107556813